GCCGGGAUGCAGCCAAAGCUGUUUGUCAAGGUGGCAUCAGAUGAUCAUGUCAUUGGACGGAGGAUCAGCAUGCAGCAGCCUGCUCCAAUCAACCAUCCCCACUAUGCUUCGACAAUCAACGUGCAGCUCUGCAGGCGAAGGUCAGUACGCGUGAUGCUAUAUUUGGUAACUAUUAUCUGCAUAAUGCACCACACUAACAAAACAAAACCACCUGCAACAUGUCUUGUGAUCGAGAAGGGUUUGAACGCAUGCGUGCAUGGCUCUGAACAAUAGCCAGGGGUAGCCCCAUGCAUGCAUGCAUGGGCUGGCCAGACAGACAGGAUUCUCUAGCUAAAGGUACGGUUCCAUGCACGCCCGUGCACAACCACUCCACCUCGCCCCACCCCUGCACGCCCCUAGUGACCAGAAUUCAAAGGGACUGUUCCCUCCUACAGUGCAAGUGUAACCUUGAAUCUGUACCACAAGGACCCAUCAGCUCAGCCAGCACAAUGUAUUUCCUAGCUUCCCUCCCACACAGCCAUGCAUAGCCCAUAGAUAUGUAUGCAUCAUCAGCUUUCACAAAUGUUCACAGGCUAGCUAGUUGGUACUUUUUCAUGAAUGCAUAUCACCUUCCUUUUUCUUUUUUUCUUUUUUAUAAAAACUAAUGUACUUGUAGAUUGAAGGGAGUCUUGUUUCAACUUAGUAUUAAGCUUCAGGAUUAGCUCAAACUUUCACAACUCUCUUUUCUUUUAUUUUCUUUUCUUUUAAAAAAUAAGCUACUUGUAGAUAUAUUGAAGGGACUCUUGUCCCAACUUAUUAAGCUUCAUUCAGGAUUAGCUCAAACUGUCAGAAAUUCGAGCAUUUUAACCUAUUAAGUAUAUGGAUAGAGUCAUUUUUUUAUAAAAAAAGAAAUUAAGAUUAUUUUUUCUCAAAAUAAAGCCGGAGUCCUCCACCCUAUUUCUUUUCGAAGGAUCGGGACUGAAUCAUAAAAAAACCGAACCACAGAUUUUCAAAAAAAAAAAAGGCGAGUCAUCCCAAACAUGCCUAUGGGCUAUGGCAUGGGCUACGGUCUGGCAAGCUACAGACAACUACUAGCUGCUGUUUCCACUGAAAGAUUUGCGAUUUUGUUGGCGACGACUGACGAGCGUGAGUUUUUAGCACUUGGAUGCAAGUUGCUAGAGGAUGCAGCUCAAAAGGACAGGCAGGGCAUGCUAGGUCGUGAACCUGGGAAAGGCUGCAGCCAUGCAUGCAUAUGCAGACACGAAGCGUAGGGACUAGCUAGCCCUAGCUUAGCUCGGUACCCUCCUCCUCUCUUCUCGAUCGGCCCCCUCGCUCCCUUAGCUAGGUCCAACGAUUUGAUGUCUGUGGAUUUCAGGAUCGAAUUAAUGUUGGUGUACUAGGAUAGUGGCUUGCACACGAGAUCUUGUGUGUUCUUAUGGGGGGAUCUUAGGAAGAUCUGUUGGCCUUUUGUAAGUUGCCAUUUUUUCCUUAAUAAUUAUCUUUACGGCCGCAAAGAUUUAGUUGGUGCUGAUGGGUAUGCUAGCUGUCAACCUUUCUUCAAUCAAACUUCCCUUAAACUUAUUGUGUCGCAAAAAGGGGAAAAACAUGAAAAGAAACCACAUCCCCAAAUAAAAGGAUUAGCAUGCCUCUAUUCUUAGACAUGUUUUCCUUACGUUCACUUUAUUUUAGUUCUACUACUUUAGAGUCCUUCGGAACACAUAAAUAAACGUAUCUAGGUUCUAAUGUCAAAUUCGGUGUUUGGUCACAUUGCAAGCAUGUGAUUGUUAUUGAUGACCCCGAAGUUGAUUUUAAGUAUCGACACAAGGAUAUUAAUGAAAAUUAAGGAUACUAUAGGGUUCAUGUGCAAACUAGGUGUUCAAGGGGUCUAUGUUUUAUCUUUUGCCUUACUAUUAAGGGGGUCCAACAUUUGUAGCUUGAUGGGAGUUAAAUUGAGGGCAUUUGGAUGCACACACAUGUGGUACAUUUUCCAAGUCAGCUCAAUAGUGGUCUCAUUGGAUAGGUUUUUAAACCGAAGAUCUCAAAAAAGUUGAAUUAGACGAGAUCAGAUUUAGAGCUAAAAAAUAUACACCCGAAAAUGCACCACAUGAUUGAAACUUGCCCGGCGGGUCAUCUUGUGGCACCGUGCAUACUUCAUAUUUAACUUUGGCGUGAUAGUCACUGUACAAUCUACUAUGUCUUGGUGGCACUCGGUGGAUCAUCCAUUGAAGCUAUGUUUUGACUGUGUGUCAAGUGGCCAUGAUACUAGACUUCAUCGUAAGAUUCGUUGUGCCUAGGUGACACACUCGAUGUGGAGUAGUAACUUGACUGCGUGUCAAGUGGUGAGUUAACUUGACUGUGUGUCAAGUGGAGUGACUAACAUGUGUCAUAUGAUCCUGCGGUGCCUAUGUAGACUACAACAGACCAUUGAGUGGAGCAUAUUCCUUUCUAACCAUUGUAAAACAUGGUUGAAUAGGAUCAUUGUAUGGUCUUGUGUGCCUAUGUAGCUCCCGACGGAUCAUUCAGUGGUAUCUAUGUCUACGGACUUAUGCUAACAACUAGUAGGUUCUUCACACCUUAUGUAUGUGUGCUCACUAGCUCAUUUUGAGCUUCUGUUUGACUCAUGUGUGUGACACACGUAUAGAGGGAGUUUGUGAAAGGUUUGAGUGCCAUUCAAGGCAAAAUUGCUAGUUGAGAUUGUGUGCUUAUUGCACAUUUUGAGUUAUUGGCUUGAUUUUCAUCUAGUGAAGGUUGAAGACUUUUCCCAACAUCUAGAGGAUCUGGCAUGGACUAUCUAGGUGACCUUCUCAUUUGAGCUGCUUGUCGGGAGGCUCAUAUUGGUGUGCUUGGUUUCAAAACCCUCGAUAUGGAGAAGAGAAGAGGUAUUCACUAUCGAUACUUGAGUCUUGGUGAGUCAAAAGAGAAUAGAUGAGUCUUAGUGACUCUCUAGUGCUACAAUGUGGAUUAGGGGUAGUGGCAAUGGCUAUUUGAGAUCGUGGGAAAGAAAUUAUAUAGGUUCCAUGUUGUCCUCUUUUCAUUUUUGCAUUACUUCGAUGACUUAACUUCGCAAUUCGCCUCUACGUCAUUGUGCCACCACUAUCGCUACCAUGUCAUCGUUCAUCCACACUGCCUAAGACCUCGCACAUUCACCAUAAAGUAAGGCUACUAUAGCCCUACCCCUAGCCACCACUCCGCAUGAUGCACAUUUGCACCCAAACGCUCAUUGACUACACCACAACCACAUGCACAACAAAGCAACACCUUCACACAACCAUUGCAUCGCCCGCCAUUGUAGCCACACCAACUACGCCAUCGGGCCUUCAUCUGACCUAAGUGCCACCCUUGUUGCCCCCCGUGCCAGCCGCCCUAGACCAACAUGCAAGAGGAACUGCCACACCUUAGAGCGAAAUGCCUCCACAUUGCCAUGUAGUCGUGACACCUCAUCGCCUCCCAUUGUCCUGCAGCGGUUCCCCCACUCCAAGCUAUCACAAGCCAUGUCAAUGUAGAUCUAGCCCUAGGAGUUUUGGACUGCCAAUGGAGCCAUGAGACCUAGAGGUCGUAUUCACCGCAAGGUGAAGUGCCAUGGUGGGCAAAGACAUGACGAUAGUACUGACGAGCUUGGGGUGGAAAGAAAGGAAGAGAAGGCCCCACUGUCACCUUACUUGUGACCCCACGGAGCACCGGGGAUGUACUCCAACAACGGCGAGGAGCGGCGGAGAAGGGAAUUCACGGUAGGCUGGAGAAGGAAUUCACGGUGGGCCGAAUAACUGGAUUUUGUGAAGGGUCAAAGGGGGCGGUUGUGCUGUAGCACGACAAACUGUGAUGUGGCUACAAUCAACUUUAUUAAAAUCAUAAUGCCAUAGCCUUCUCAUGCGUCGCCGUCAAGUGAUGCCCCUUGCGUGCCGGCAGGACCAAGGGUCCGGGGCAACAAGCCAGGUGCGGCAGUGGCCAACCCACGACGAUGUAGGCCGGGCAUAGUAGUGGAGGUAUAGUAGUGAAUGAAGGUAUGGCCGGGGCUGAGCUUGGCAGGGUGCUGUAUAAUAAGCUGAAGUCCGUGUUCCACAUUGGCGCCAGAACUUGUUAGUCCUAGAACUAGAAUAGUAUGAUAUUUCAUCUUUAUUAUUCGUAGCAAAAGCACAAUCUAGUAUUAUUAUAUUAUAUAUAAUAGCACUAGCACAUAACAGCCUUUUAUGCAUGGCUUCCAAAGAGAGGAGAUGAUGGCAAAUCUUGCUUGUUUAUUUGGUUACACACUUACACGGCAUGCAUGGCUGGGGCCUUUUUCAUUCCAUGCAUAUGUAUGUCAUGCGGCAUCAUUGUACAUGUUGAUUUCAACAAAACUAAUGGCGGCCUAGCUAGGCAAUGGUGGGGCCACCCUCGUCUUAGGCCUUCCUGUUACCACGUACUAGUACUGUAAAGAGAGUUUAGUGUGUGAGGCUAUACUUGUCUGUUCUUGCCUUCUUGGAGACCGUGAGGUCGCGCUCUUUCUUGAUGAGCUUUUACAUGUUUGCUCUGUUGACUACUCGAGAAUUGACUUGGCUUUUCCCUUUAGGAAAGUUUAAAUUGACUCACAGCUAUGUAAUUCUGGUUCAGCCAGAGACACUAUUGUGUUACAGUGGCAGUUAGUUACUGUAUUUUAGUAGCUGUCCAGUUUCAAAUAAUAGUAAUAUCAAAUUAGUAACGAUCCAUCUUAUAUACACGGUAUGCACCAUACUAAUUUCUUUUAAGCUGAAAGAUGACACUUUUUUUUUGCUUUUUUUUUAAAAAAAACAAAGAGCUGCCUGGGGUAUGAACCCACUGUACUGUCACUUGGUCUCAGUGAUCUGCAUGAUUGUUGGCCAGACUGGACUGUGGAUGCCUUUUGCAACUUUUUUAGUUUUGAAAACUUUGCUGCAACUAGCUAGUAAUUACGUUGUGUUGAGAUGCAUGUAUGUAGACCAUGAUGAUACUAAUUAUAUAUAAGCUUCAGCUACGUACCUAUAAAUGACAAAGAUGACAAAAUCUAAGUGAAAGCUAUCAUGCUGUAACAGUGGCCAUCAUUGAAGGCCACAUGUACUUCUAAUUAUUUUAUGGGGCCUGUUCUCGUCGACUUGCUUUGCAAAGAAUCUGUUACAUGACUGGUUACAAAUGAGGGAUUGAUCUAACCUCCUGCUAUCUACCUUCAUCAGUUAACUGUGUGAAGGGCCAGUCCGUGUUUGGAUCAUCAUCAGUUGAUUCCUUAGGACAUCGAUCGGUACAAUUUUCUCUAUUUUAUCAGCAAUAACUGUCAUGAGAUUUUUUCCUUACGUACUGUAUGGGUGGAAACAUUGACGUAGCAUGUCAUGUGCAUAAUUUUUUGUUUCCUACUAUAUACUCCCUCCGUUCCAAUUUAUAAAACAUUUUAGUUUUCUAGAUUCGUGACUUUUGCUAUGCACUUAAUUAGAUAUACACCAUACUCCCUCCAUUAUCAUUUUGUUUUUUGAGUUAGGUGCAGUACAUACAGUACCAUUAUUAUUAGAACCAGUGAAUCC
rnacentral:lncRNA from 1 species